rnacentral:rRNA from 1 species
AGGCAGCAGUGGGUUAUAUUGCACAAUGGGCGCAACCACUGAUGCAGCCAUGCCGCGUGUAUGAAAAAGGCCUUCGGGUUGUAAAGUAACUUUCAGCGGGGAGGAAGGGAGUAAGGGUAAUACCUUUGCUCAUUGACGUUACCCGCAGAAGAAAGCACCGGCUAACUCCGGCCAGCAGGCGCGGUAAUACGGAGG